AACGAACGCUGGCGGCAGGCUUAACACAUGCAAGUCGAGCGCCCCGCAAGGGGAGCGGCAGACGGGUGAGUAACGCGUGGGAAUCUACCCAUCUCUACGGAAUAACGCAUGGAAACGUGUGCUAAUACCGUAUACGUCCUUCGGGAGAAAGAUUUAUCGGAGAUGGAUGAGCCCGCGUUGGAUUAGCUAGUUGGUGGGGUAAAGGCCUACCAAGGCGACGAUCCAUAGCUGGUCUGAGAGGAUGAUCAGCCACACUGGGACUGAGACACGGCCCAGACUCCUACGGGAGGCAGCAGUGGGGAAUAUUGGACAAUGGGCGCAAGCCUGAUCCAGUCAUGCCGCGUGAGUGAUGAAGGCCCUAGGGUUGUAAAGCUCUUUCACCGGUGAAGAUAAUGACGGUAACCGGAGAAGAAGCCCCGGCUAUCUUCGUGCCAGCCGCCGCGGUAACAC
rnacentral:rRNA from 1 species